rnacentral:lncRNA from 1 species
UCCCAGGGUCGUGGGUUCGAGCCCCACGUUGGGCGUGUGAUAUUUUUUUUGUCCCUCUUCGCUUUUUUUUUUGUUUUUCGUGCAGCCUCGCAUCAGCGGCGCCGCUCCGCAGCCCCCCGCAGCCGCACGGGCAGAGCCGCGCAGCCGCCACGACCCGGGGCGCGGAGGGGGGGGACACACGACACACACACUCCUGACGGGGCGAACUACAACCCCCAGCGUGCCUCGCGGCGCGGCGCAUGCGCGGCGCGGCGGGGGCUGGGAACGGCCGCGCGUGAUGCGGCGGCGGCGGCGGUGAGGCCGCCGGGGGAGGGGGCGGGCGGCGCGCGAGGCGCUCCUAAAUGGCGCCCAAGCAGGACCCCAAGCCCAAGUUCCAGGAGGGUGAGCGGGGGGCGGCCGGGGGGGGGGCCUCGGGGCCGGGCCGGGCCGGGAAGGGACAAAGGGAGCGGGCGGGGGGGCUCCGACACCCGCUGCUGGGCCCCUGGGGCCUCCUCUCCCCCGGGGGUGCGCUGGGUUUUAGCCUGCGUUUCUCAGCCCCAGCGCUCCGGGAGUCUGUGGGAAGCGUCCGUUCCCUGCACCUCAGCCAGAGAGGCUGUUCUGGAAGGGCUGGCGUCCCUCCGGUCCUCAUCUCUUCUUCUUCUCGGCUUUCCUGCCCAUAAGGCCCGAGACCGCCCUUCUCCCCUCGUUCACACUACGCUCAAUUUUCUUGCAAGCGUGGGCAUUAAAACCGCUGGAACCUCCUGGCUGCGUCAGGACUUUCGUCCUCUCAGCCUUGAGGUGUGCUCGUCACUCGCCCUGCUUGAGGGGGAGCUCCGGUGGGCGCCGUGCUGGGGCCACGCAGCAGUUGGGGUGGGCUCACAGGAUCCACGCUUCCAUCAACGCGCCCGCCGUUCUAGGACAAUAACGGAUGAGGUUACGCUUCCUACGGGGCUUCCUUUGCACACAUCUCGAUUUUUAGGUAGUGGCUGUGGUUGGUACUGGUACAGGCAAGUGAAAACUCGUUUCCCCGUCCCUCACCGUGGCUCUGUCUCUAAAAAUGCAGCUCGCAGAAGAAGGACUGGAAGCCGGCUGCUCUGCGUCCCUCACCGCGCUGCUCGGGUGUGCAUCGGGGCAGCUGGCGGCAGGACGUGUUCGGUUGUGCGUCGGCGUCCCCAUGCCACGCGCCAACACCAGCGUUGUUAA